UACGUAGGGUGCAAGCGUUAAUCGGAAUUACUGGGCGUAAAGCGUGCGCAGGUGGUUAUGUAAGACAGAUGUGAAAUGCCCGGGCUUAACCUGGGAACUGCAUUUGUGACUGCAUGGCUAGAGUGUGUCAGAGGGGGGUAGAAUUCCACGUGUAGCAGUGAAAUGCGUAGAUAUGUGGAGGAAUACCGAUGGCGAAGGCAGCCCCCUGGGAUAACACUGA
rnacentral:rRNA from 1 species